GUUCGUGAACCAGCGGAGGGAUCAUUA
rnacentral:rRNA from 1 species